rnacentral:rRNA from 1 species
UGGGGAAUAUUGGACAAUGGGCGCAAGCCUGAUCCAGCCAUGCCGCGUGAGUGAUGAAGGCCCUAGGGUUGUAAAGCUCUUUCACCGGUGAAGAUAAUGACGGUAACCGGAGAAGAAGCCCCGGCUAACUUCGUGCCAGCAGCCGCGGUAAUACGAAGGGGGCUAGCGUUGUUCGGAUUUACUGGGCGUAAAGCGCACGUAGGCGGACUUUUAAGUCAGGGGUGAAAUCCCGGGGCUCAACCCCGGAACUGCCUUUGAUACUGGAAGUCUUGAGUAUGGUAGAGGUGAGUGGAAUUCCGAGUGUAGAGGUGAAAUUCGUAGAUAUUAGGAGGAACACCAGUGGCGAAGGCGGCUCACUGGACCAUUACUGACGCUGAGGUGCGAAAGCGUGGGGAGCAAACAGG